rnacentral:lncRNA from 1 species
AAGCUGAGAUGGGUAGUCUUAGUAAAUCUCAGAAGAAGGAAUAUCUUGAUGAGAUGGAGUACCGGGAGAAACUAUUUAUGAAGAGGCAGAUGAAAGAGGAAAGAAAGAGACGUAAGAUGAUGAAGAAAUUUGCUGCCGAGAUUAAAGAAUUUGCUAACGGGCAUAGUGAAAAUGUGGAAGAGGAGAGAAGUGAACCUGCUUCUGUUCCAGUUCCCAUGCCAGAUUUGUCUCUACCUGCAUCGUUCGACUCUGACAACCCUACUCACAGGUACCGGUCUCUUGAUUCCUCCAAUCAGUGGCUUGUUAGGCCAGUCCUGGAAACUCAGGGGUGGGAUCAUGAUGUUGGGUAUGAAGGUGUCAAUGCAGAACGACUUUUUGUUGUUAAAGAAAAGAUACCGAUAUCUUUCUCGGGGCAAGUUACAAAGGACAAAAAGGAUGCAAAUGUGCAGCUGGAAAUGGCCAGCUCGGUUAAACAUGGAGAGGGCAGAUCAACCUCCCUAGGUUUUGAGAUGCAAAAUGCUGGGAAGGAAUUGGCUUACACUGUUCGAAGUGAUACCAAAUUUAACAAUUUUAGGAAACACAAAGCUGCAGCUGGUCUCUCUGUAACGCUCUUGGGUGAUUCGGUGUCUGCGGGGCUGAAAGUUGAGGAUAAGUUGAUUGCUAAUAAAAGGUUCAGAAUGGUUAUGUGUGGAGGGGCAAUGACUAGUCGAGGAGAUGUUGCUUAUGGGGGUAGUUUAGAAGCUCAGCUGAGAGAUAAAGAUUAUCCGCUGGGUAGGUUUUUAUCUACUCUAGGACUUUCUGUGAUGGAUUGGCAUGGGGAUCUUGCUAUUGGAGGGAAUAUACAGUCCCAGGUGCCCAUAGGACGUUCAUCUAAUCUAAUAGCUCGUGCUAAUCUGAACAACAGAGGGGCAGGGCAAGUAAGCCUCCGCGUAAAUAGCUCUGAGCAGCUCCAACUUGCACUGGUCGCAUUGGUUCCUCUGUUCAAGAAGCUACUUAGUUAUUAUUCCCCUCAGCAAAUGGAAUAUUGACAAUAAUGGAUCACUUCGGGUUUCAAUUCACUUACUACAAGAACAUCCUAGAUUGAGAGUUGAAAAGGUACUAAUCUAUCUGCUUUUGCUUUCUUAUUCCAUUUGCUGUAAACCCGCUUUAUUGAUUGCUGAUGUGGCUUUUGGUUUUUGAGCAGGAACCUUGGUGUGCCCUUUGGGUUGAAAACUUUAAGAACAAUUUGUUGGAGGAGGCCUCUGUUUUCUUUACAUAGCCAGAACACUUGUUCGUUCCUUGUCUAAUUUAAGCAUAGUUGUGGUUUUAUUCUCUUUCCAAAACCUUUGUAUGGCUUUCUGUUCAUGUCUACCUCUGGAUUUUUCAUAAAGCUUGUUAAAAUUAUGCUGCAAUCUACUUGUUGAUUUUAAGACACCCAUCAUCACCCUCUGAGCUAGCCGUAAUUCAAGGCUUUUAAAGGGAGUUUUGUAGGGGUCCUUAUCAUCUGCUAAACGUCUUUUAAUGUUGUCAAGCAUCUAUUGUAAGCUGCUUUGGAAAGUCAAAGUUGCUGGUAACUUUUGUUGCGCCAGUUCGUAUUAUGCGUCUUUCCCUCAAAUCAAAAGAUUCUGUUGUUGAUACUGUUACUGCGAAUCUCACAUUGUCACGUUGAGUCCCACCAAAUCCAUUGGUUUGGUGCUCAUGCAAUCCAUCUGCGAGACUUCUGUUACACAAUUUGCUCUUGUUAGCAGCGAGAUGUGGUAGCUUUGGUCUUGUUGUCAUUAUAAAAGCUUCUGUGGUGGAAAUACCGUUUGGAUUUGCCAGUUCUUAACGGAAGAGAUUAUCUAUGUGAAAGUUGUCACUGCAUGUUUUGACUUGUCUAAUAUUGUCGAGUAGGAAGCUUUUAAUGGGAGAAGAUGGUAGACAAGAAGUUUACAGUGUUGGGCUGCAAGAGUAUGAAGUCUCAGAUGUUCAAAUUGUAAGGUACUUAUCGAGAAAGGGAACGCUGAAAGGAGCACAGGGUCAACUGGAGCAAAUGGGGAGUCAUCUAGAUCACAUGCUAUCUUACAACUUGUUGGAAAGAAACACGUUUUGAGGUAAAAGAAACCAGACGUAAAAAUGAUGAUGCCAAUGAAUUGCCUGGGAAAGUUGUUGGGAAGAGUACUUUCAUUGAUCUUGCUGGCAGUGAAAUAGGUGCAGACACCACAGACAAUGACCGCCAGACAAGGUGAGAAUGCUCUCUAGACGUCGUGGCUGAGUACUGAUGUGGGACCCACAAAUGACGCUGGAGAUGAUGUCAUGGCACGCUGGCAAUGAUCAGCGUUAUCUUUCAAACCUUCUCAUGCAGGUACUUUGCUUUCCCUGAGUCUUUCUUUCCAUUACACUCUUCCAAUAACUUGCAUGCCUUGUAGGUGGUAAUUGCCAAUGUUUUGUUAGAGCUUUGGUUCGCUGAAUGCUGAGUAUGAAUGUAAGCUUGGAAUCUUUUUGACCAUCCUUGUGAAUUGUGCUUAUCUUGCUAGAAUUUGUUUCAGGGCAUGUUAGUAAUUUAUCUCUUUCGAUUGGUAAUUUUCUUAGCUAUAGAAACUUUACUGGCUGGCUGCUUUGUGUUUGUUUUUGCUGUAUCUGCCACGGUUAUGGAGCUCAGACUGCUGGAGAGAAUCAAAAGCUUUUCAAACUAAUGUGAAAUCUGAAUCUCUACGGAGAGUACUCUGAAUCAUAUAUACACCAUCAGCAGCUUUUCAAACUAAUGUGAAAUCUGAAUCUCAACGGAGAGUACUCUGAAUCAUAUAUACACCAUCAGCAGCUAUGCCUUCUUCGGAAGGAUUUUUUUUCCACCCGAGUUCAGAGAUGAUUUUGGAGCUUGUUUGAUGGGAUCUUCAUGCAGUGGAUGACUCAGAGCUUCUCUCUGAGGUACGUUUGGAAGGACAACUAGACAUAGAUCAUUCAUAGUUAUGUUGAUUGGUAUGUUCUGUAGAAACUAUAGCCUCUCUUGAAACUAAUUCUCAGCUUCUCUUAACUUCAGACCGUGAAGAGAAAGUGUCACCACCUCGUGGGAAAGGGUUGCGGGAAGAAAAACCAGCCAGACCACAAAACAUGUCUAAGAGAGACGUCAGGUCGUCAGAUAUCCCCUACCUUUACAAACUUUAGGCAGACACAAGUAAGCCAUACAUAUAUAUAUAUAACCGACCCUUCACUUGAUGAAAACAUCGAUGCACUGUUUGAUGUAAAAUUUAACCAAUUUAGUAAGCCAUACAUAUAUAUAUAUAUAUAAAAAAACAAUCACGUUUGUAAUAGCUAAUAUAAAAUAUUUGCGACUGACAAUAAUAGAAAAGACAGGUGAGUAACUCCAAGAAAGAAGAAAACAAGUAUCUGUCUCGUGUAGUGAUGGCAAAAAGGCCAACAAGAUUUAGCAGCCCACCUAAAAGGCCUUGGCCCACUUCAUGUUUCCACCGUACGAUGCUUAAACCCAAAACGGAUAUCCACCGUCCCUGGAAAGCUCUUAUCUCCCUCCUCCUCCACCUUCCCCGUCAGAAGUUUGCCUCUCUCCCUCUCUCUCUCUAAACGAGGUUAGCUUUCUCUUUUUUUUUGUAUAAGCUUUUAGGGGUUUCAUUUUCAAUGAUAGAGAUGAGUAUUCCAGAGUUUCGUUUCUGCUCUAAUUUUAUCGUUAGGGUUAAGCCUUUUUAGUCUGAUUGAUUCGUGAUUUCGUUUUGUUUAUGGUUGUAAGUAGGUAUGGAAGAGAAGAAGCUUGCAGACGAUAGAGUCAUCGAUGACCAAGUAGAGAAAAUUGAAUUGGUGGUUUCUGAUGUUGAUGCGAGGGAUACCGAAGAUGAGGAAGCUAUUGACAGUUCAAAGCCUGAAUCUCUCCAAGCCGAUGAUUUACCUUCAGAGGAAGUGAAAGAUCCAAAGGAGAUUAUUGGAGAGAGCCAUGGUGAGGCAAACCUGCAACAUAUAACUACGGGAGAGGCUGUACCAGGUUUUGUGACUUCCCGAAUGAAUGGUGAUGAAGGGGAAGCAGGUGCAGAGAAUGUCCACGAGACAGCCACACAUUCUUUUUCUGAAAAUGGAACUGUCUCUCUUGAGAAGAAACAACCGGUGGCUGAUGUGAUCGGGGAAACAAGGAAUGGUGGUAUUGAAGAGGAAAUCAAGGAGGAAAUUGUUGAUGUAUCUGGGGCACAAAGAAAUGGUGAACGUGCUUCAGGUGAGAGAUCUUUCAAUGAUAGUAUUCAAGUAGCUUCUGCUGGGACCUCAUCUCCAUUGGAGAAAUCUAGUUCUGAGGAAAAUGGAGAGACGGAAGGUCACAUCAGUAGAGAGCAUGAUACAGUUCAAAAUGGAGGACUUGGUGUUGAACAUACUUCUCAACCUAAUAAGGAAUUUGAGAAGCAGCGAGGCAGCAGAGUGAAUAUGAGUCCAGAGAUUAAGGAAAGAAAAUCUGAGGUAGCAAGUUCUGUUUCACCAACAGAGUCUACAAGUAAUAUUGCAGCGUCACCUCCUCCUGCUCGCCCAGCAGGCCAUGGGCGGGAUGCUUCUCUUUUGGAACCCACUCCACGUGUUCCUCAUCAGCCUCGUGUAAAUGGCAAUGCGUCUCAGAAUCAGUCUGAGCAAGCAGAGGACCCUACCCCUGCAGAGACCGAUGAGCAUGAUGAGACCCGUGAGAAGCUCCAAUUGAUCAGGGUCAAGUUUUUGAGGCUUUCACAUAGAUUAGGGCAAACUCCACAUAAUGUUGUUGUUGCUCAGGUUUUGUAUAGGCUUGGAUUAGCAGAGCAGUUGAGGGGGAGAAACGGAAGCCGUGUUGGUGCCUUUAGUUUUGAUCGUGCCAGUUCCAUGGCAGAACAACUUGAGGCAGCUGGACAGGAUCCACUUGAUUUUUCUUGUACAGUUAUGGUGCUCGGUAAAAGUGGUGUUGGUAAGAGUGCUACGAUUAAUUCUAUUUUUGAUGAAGUGAAGAUCUGUACGGAUGCAUUCCAGAUGGGGACAAAGAGGGUUCAGGAGGUUGAGGGUUUUGUUCAGGGAAUUAAGGUUCGGGUGAUUGACACUCCAGGUCUCUUACCAUCAUGGUCUGAUCAACACAAGAAUGAGAAAAUGUUGAAGUCUGUUAAGGUUUUCAUCAAGAAAAAUCCACCGGAUAUCGUAUUAUAUCUUGAUAGGCUGGAUAUGCAAAGCAGAGAUUCUGGUGACACUCCUCUCUUGCGCACCAUCACUGAUGUUUUUGGACCAUCGAUAUGGUUUAAUGCCAUUGUGGGUUUGACUCAUGCCGCUUCUGCUCCACCAGAUGGCCCAAAUGGCACUGCCUCUAGCUAUGACAUGUUUGUAACACAACGUUCCCAUGUCAUUCAGCAGGCCAUUCGCCAAGCAGCUGGAGAUAUGAGGCUCAUGAACCCUGUGUCUUUAGUUGAGAACCACUCUGCUUGCAGGACAAAUCGGGCAGGUCAGAGAGUAUUACCGAAUGGCCAAGUGUGGAAGCCUCAUUUGCUGUUACUCUCGUUUGCGUCCAAGAUUCUAGCAGAAGCAAAUGCUCUUCUGAAAUUACAAGAUAAUAAUACUCCAGGGAGACCAUUUGUAGCUCGAUCCAAGGCUCCACCACUGCCACUUCUCCUCUCAUCGUUUCUGCAAUCAAGACCGCAAGCUAAACUUCCUGAAGAGCAAUAUGGUGAUGAAGAAGAUGAAGAUGAUUUAGACGAAUCAUCAGGUUCUGACGAAGAAUCAGAGUACGAUCAGCUUCCUCCUUUCAAACGAUUGACUAAAGCUGAGAUGGCUAGGCUUAGUAAAUCUCAGAAGAAGCAAUAUCUUGAUGAGAUGGAGUACCGGGAGAAACUAUUUAUGAAGAGGCAGAUGAAAGAGGAAAGAAAGAGACGUAAGAUGAUGAAGAAAUUUGCUGCCGAGAUUAAAGAUAUGGCUGAGGAGCAUAGUGAAAAUGUGGAAGAGGAGAGAAGUGAACCUGCUUCUGUUCCAGUUCCCAUGCCAGAUUUGUCUCUACCUGCAUCGUUCGACUCUGACAACCCUACUCACAGGUACCGGUCCCUUGAUUCCUCCAAUCAGUGGCUUGUUAGGCCAGUCCUGGAAACUCAGGGGUGGGAUCAUGAUGUUGGCUAUGAAGGUGUCAAUGCAGAACGACUUUUUGUUGU